UGCAGGCCUUUCUGGAGUCCUGCCCUCCUGACCUACGGGCUGACUGUGCCUCAGGCAUCCUGCUGGCUGCAGAGAGACACCAUCCUGCAUGUGCUGACAACGGCGGGCACCCAUGUGCGGGAUGAUGCAGUGGCCAACCUGACCCAGCUGAUUGGGGGGGCCCAGGAGCUACAUGCCUACUCUGUGCGCCGCCUCUACAAUGCCCUGGCAGAAGACAUUUCCCAGCAACCACUGGUGCAGGUGGCAGCCUGGUGCAUUGGGGAGUAUGGGGACCUCCUGCUGGCGGGGAACUGCGAGGAGAUUGAGCCCCUUCAGGUGGACGAAGAGGAAGUGCUGGCAUUGCUGGAAAAGGUGCUGCAGUC
rnacentral:sRNA from 1 species